UUUCCUUAUACCUUUCAAAACAUUCGCUGUGAGUUGGUGUCCUCCAUUGAAUGUAACUGGUGGGAUUGACGGAUUCCUAGUCAACACAUCAAAUGGCUGUGGGCAGUGCACCAAUAUUGGAGUAGUGGGUGCUGGCACAACAGAGGUAUUGUGCUCCGACUGGUUGGUCCUAGGACAGAUUUGCAACAUUUCUAUUCGAACCAUUACCACUGAUUGUCACUUUCACAGUGUGAACCCAGCCCGUAUUUCUGUUUUCUUAGAGUAUCCCACAGCACCAGCGAUCACUAACAUUACAAGAAUGUACAACCUGAAUGGAUUUUUAAGAGGUUUUACAAUAGCUCUAUCUCACCCCUCAAAUAUGCCUACGGACAAGAAUGGAUUUACUUUAACUUAUGUUAUUGUCAUUGCACACUCUGUUGAGACAGAGCCAAUGGAAACUUUGUUAGACUGCUCUGGGAGAACGGAGUGUGUGCAGAGCUUUGAAGUAGAGCAAUUAAUGUUUGGAGAGUACAAAGUUGGUGUUGGCACCAUGACUCCUGUUGGGAAAACUGUCCAACACAAUAUUGUUUCAUUGGGUAAAGUCAUCAUGUAUAAUGUACAAUGAAAGUUUACUCAAGCAGCACCUAAUAUGUUUACUACCAAACUCUUAUAAUUAUGCAUGCACUUU